AGCGGCGGACGGGUGAGUAACGCGUAGGAAUCUGCCCGGUAAUGGGGGAUAGCCCGGAGAAAUCCGGAUUAAUACCGCAUACGCCCUAUGGGGGAAAGGUGGCCUCUUCUUGAACGCUACCGUUAUCGGAUGAGCCUGCGUCGGAUUAGCUAGUUGGUGGGGUAAAGGCCUACCAAGGCGACGAUCCGUAGCUGGUCUGAGAGGAUGAUCAGCCACACUGGGACUGAGACACGGCCCAGACUCCUACGGGAGGCAGCAGUGGGGAAUAUUGGACAAUGGGCGCAAGCCUGAUCCAGCCAUGCCGCGUGUGUGAAGAAGGCUUUCGGGUUGUAAAGCACUUUCAGCGGGGAGGAAAGGUUGCUGGUUAAUACCCAGCAGCUGUGACGUUACCCGCAGAAGAAGCACCGGCUAACUCCGUGCCAGCAGCCGCGGUAAUACGGAGGGUGCGAGCGUUAAUCGGAAUUACUGGGCGUAAAGCGUGCGUAGGCGGUGAUCUAAGUGGGAUGUGAAAGCCCCGGGCUCAACCUGGGAACUGCACCCCAAACUGGGUCGCUAGAGUACAGCAGAGGAGUGUGGAAUUUCCUGUGUAGCGGUGAAAUGCGUAGAUAUAGGAAGGAACACCAGUGGCGAAGGCGACACUCUGGGCUGAUACUGA
rnacentral:rRNA from 1 species